rnacentral:lncRNA from 1 species
GUCCAAGGGAGUUCAGACUCGUGCUGUUUUUUUAUGGUUGUAGACCUCACCGGGCUGCUUCAGUGGUGACUAUUUCUACCUGAAGAUGCAUGCAUUUUUUCAGCUUCUUCUACCAGUGUUAGCCUUUGUGUCCAGUAGCUAUGACAAAUGAAGAAAUUACACCUCAUCAAGAUGAAGUACUGGAAAGUGAAAAAGAUUGAGAUAGCUUCAGUGGGACAUUAAGCACCUCAAAGAAGUGGAGCACCAAAAUGCAAAAGACCACUGAGGUGAUGUAAGGCAUUUGUGGAAGAUCCUGGUCAUUACCCACAGUGCUGAGCAAACCAUCUCUUCUGAGGGCACCAGCAGAGACAUCCUUGCUGUGUCUGGCACCUGGGACAGGCAACCAGCGUGGUGCCUAGCCUGUGGCCAGCUGAGAUCAGGUCCUCAGGAUCCAUCAGCACAAGAGGACUUAUGGUGACCUUCUGAGGAUCACUGACAUCAGUCACCACUGAAGCACAUACUUCUCCUUCCCUUUAUUCCCUGCCAAAAAUACCAUGGCCAAGGGACACAGGAGACAGGAAGACAGCUCAGGUAGCUUUUGGAAAGUUUCAUCACAGUGC